UAAGGAAUAUUGGUCAAUGGAGGCAACUCUGAACCAGCCAUGCCGCGUGCAGGAAGACGGCCCUCCGGGUUGUAAACUGCUUUUAUUCGGGAAUAAACCUGCUUACGUGUAAGUAGCUGAAUGUACCGAAGGAAUAAGGAUCGGCUAACUCCGUGCCAGCAGCCGCGGUAAUACGGAGGAUCCAAGCGUUAUCCGGAUUUAUUGGGUUUAAAGGGUGCGUAGGCGGCUUAUUAAGUCAGGGGUGAAAGACGGUGGCUCAACCAUCGCAGUGCCCUUGAUAAUGAUGAGCUUGAAUAAACUAGAGGUAGGCGGAAUGUGACAAGUAGCGGUGAAGUGCAUAGAUAUGUAACAGAACAUCGAUUGCGAAGACAGAUUAAUAUGGUUUUAUUGACGCUGAGGAACGAAGGCGUGGGGAUCAAACA
rnacentral:rRNA from 1 species